ACCCACUUUUUUACUCUCUCUCUACCAGGGUUGCUUUUCUCCUCCAAGCUUCCCCCUUUCCAAAUACAAAGUUAUACAACAACAGAGAGUAAAUCCCUUUAUUGCUUGACUAAAUACAACAUUGGUGAUUGAAAGCCAGAAAAAAGGGCAGGAGAGCAGAGGCUAGCAAUCAAAUAGGAUUUUGAUGCUUGCAUCGAUUGUAGUCAGUACAGCGCCCAUUAGCAGCAUUAACUUGGACUAUGCAAUUGCUGUAUUGAGCCGCACUACAAACUGGCUUCCUCUAAAGAGCUUUGUACCCAAUUGUAUUUUGCUGCUGGGAUUGCAGCCAUCUCCCAGGUGUAGCAUAGGGCCUGAGAACCUCACCUUCAGAUUCCAUGCUGCCUUCCAAGAAGCACGUGGAAAAGGUACCAUUGCACGGUAAACCAGCACGCUUUAUUAGGGAAGAAACUGAAGCCCCUGUCAAGUUGCUCCAUAGAAUGAGGAACAAAAUGAGGAAAGGAAGACCAGUAUUCUUCUUCCUCUUGAAGCUGAAGCUCAUGAUGUCUAUCGUUAUUAAUUCCCUUAUGCUAUCUUCUUCUUCCUCUUUUUUUUUCCCCCUCACUUUCUUCAAUCAAGAAUCUCUGGAGGUUAUCAGCAAAGCAGAGACAUGGGGCUAUAGGAGGCCUGAAGGGGGUAUUUAAUUCACUAAUUUCUAUUUGCUACUAAAAUCAAACUAUGUGAUUGCAGAAGUCGUAGGAUGUGCACGGACAGCAGUACUGCUAGUGAUAGUGAUUUUUUGAAAAAGUAAUGAUCAGGAAGUUUUUGUUAACGGCCAUGUGAGUUUCACGUGGUUUUCUCUGUCCAAUUUGUGUAAUUUCCCGUUUUUUGACUAAAUAUGACAAAAAUCGUUAAUUUAAGUACUCAAUGUGUUCUGUUGAAAAGUUUGGAGACUAAAUGUGUCUUCGUGUUCAAGUUUAGAGACGAAAAGUGAAUUUUUCC
rnacentral:lncRNA from 1 species